GAGGGUGACAGGUGGUGCAUGGUUGUCGUCAGCUCGUGUCGUGAGAUGUUGGGUUAAGUCCCGCAACGAGCGCAACCCUCGCCUCUAGUUGCCAGCAUUCGGUUGGGCACUCUAGAGGGACUGCCGGCGACAAGUCGGAGGAAGGUGGGGAUGACGUCAAAUCAUCAUGCCCCUUAUGACCUGGGCUACACACGUGCUACAAUGGGCGGUACAAAGGGCUGCGAACCCGCGAGGGGGAGCGAAUCCCAAAAAAGCCGCUCUCAGUUCGGAUUGCAGGCUGCAACUCGCCUGCAUGAAGCCGGAAUCGCUAGUAAUCGCGGAUCAGCAUGCCGCGGUGAAUACGUUCCCGGGCCUU
rnacentral:rRNA from 1 species